GUGUCAGCCGCCGCGGUAAUACGGAAGGGGCAAGCGUUGUUCGGAAUCAUUGGGCGUAAAGGGCGCGUAGGCGGUCGCGUGUGUCUGCUGUGAAAGCGCACGGCUCAACCGUGUGAAGUCGGUAGAAACUGCGGGACUUGAGGCUGGGAGAGGUUGGUGGAAUUCCCUGUGUAGCGGUGAAAUGCGUAGAUAUAGGGGAGAACACUCGUGGCGAAGGCGGCCAGCUGGACCAGCCCUGACGCUGAGGCGCGACAGCGUGGGGAGCAAACAGGAUUAGAUACCCUCGUAGUCC
rnacentral:rRNA from 1 species